rnacentral:rRNA from 1 species
CUUGGUCAUUUAGAGGAAGUAAAAGUCGUAACAAGGUUUCCGUAGGUGAACCUGCGGAAGGAUCAUUACAGAGAUCAUGCCCUUCGGGGUAGACCUCCCACCCUUUGUUAUACCAACGAAUGUUGCUUUGGCGAGCCGCCCUAGGCCGUCGGCCUCGGCUGACGCGUGCUCGCCAGAGACCCCAAACUCUGUAUCAGUGUCGUCUGAGUACUAUAUAAUAGUUAAAACUUUCAACAACGGAUCUCUUGGUUCUGGCAUCGAUGAAGAACGCAGCGAAAUGCGAUAAGUAAUGUGAAUUGCAGAAUUCAGUGAAUCAUCGAAUCUUUGAACGCACAUUGCGCCCCUUGGUAUUCCGGGGGGCAUGCCUGUUCGAGCGUCAUUUCAACCCUCAAGCUCUGCUUGGUCUCGGGCCCUGCCGGCAACGGCUGGCCUCAAAAGUAGUGGCGGCGCCAUCGUGCUCUCAGCGUAGUAAUUCUUCUCGCUGUUGGGUCCCGGUGGACGCUGGCCAGCAACCCCCCAUUUCUAAUGUUGACCUCGGAUCAGGUAGGGAUACCCGCUGAACUUAAGCAUAUCAAUAAGCGGAGGA